rnacentral:rRNA from 1 species
UACGGAGGGUGCAAGCGUUAUCCGGAUUUACUGGGCUUAAAGGGUGCGCAGGCGGGCUUUUAAGUCAGCGGUGAAAUCUCCGGGCUCAGCCCGGAAAUUGCCGUUGAUACUAUUAGUCUUGAAUUAAGUUGAGGUGGGCGGAAUAUGUCAUGUAGCGGUGAAAUGCUUAGAUAUGACAUAGAACACCGAUUGCGAAGGCAGCUCGCUAAACUUAUAUUGACGCUGAGGCACGAAAGCGUGGGGAGCAAACAGG